UAGGGAAUCUUCCGCAAUGGGCGAAAGCCUGACGGAGCAACGCCGCGUGAGUGAUGAAGGUCUUCGGAUCGUAAAACUCUGUUAUUAGGGAAGAACAAAUGUGUAAGUAACUAUGCACGUCUUGACGGUACCUAAUCAGAAAGCCACGGCUAACUACGUGCCAGCAGCCGCGGUAAUACGUAGGUGGCAAGCGUUAUCCGGAAUUAUUGGGCGUAAAGCGCGCGUAGGCGGUUUUUUAAGUCUGAUGUGAAAGCCCACGGCUCAACCGUGGAGGGUCAUUGGAAACUGGAAAACUUGAGUGCAGAAGAGGAAGGUGGAAUUCCAUGUGUAGCGGUGAAAUGCGCAGCGAUAUGGAGGAACACCAGUGGCGAAGGCGACUUUCUGGUCUGUAACUGACGCUGAUGUGCGAAAGCGUGGGGAUCAAACAGG
rnacentral:rRNA from 1 species